GACGAACGCUGGCGGCGUGCUUAACACAUGCAAGUCGAACGGAAAGGCCCUGCUUUUGUGGGGUGCUCGAGUGGCGAACGGGUGAGUAACACGUGAGUAACCUGCCCUUGACUUUGGGAUAACUUCAGGAAACUGGGGCUAAUACCGGAUAGGAGCUCCUGCUGCAUGGUGGGGGUUGGAAAGUUUCGGCGGUUGGGGAUGGACUCGCGGCUUAUCAGCUUGUUGGUAGGGUAGUGGCUUACCAAGGCUUUGACGGGUAGCCGGCCUGAGAGGGUGACCGGCCACAUUGGGACUGAGAUACGGCCCAGACUCCUACGGGAGGCAGCAGUGGGGAAUAUUGCACAAUGGGCGGAAGACUGAUGCAGCAACGCCGCGUGCGGGAUGACGGACUUCGGGUUGUAAACCGCUUUCGCCUGUGACGAAGCGUGAGUGACGGUAAUGGGUAAAGAAGCACCGGCUAACUACGUG
rnacentral:rRNA from 1 species